GAGAGUUUGAUCCUGGCUCAGGAUGAACGCUAGCGGCAGGCUUAACACAUGCAAGUCGAGGGGUAACGGGGAAGCUUGCUUCCGCCGACGACCGGCGCACGGGUGCGUAACGCGUAUACAAUCUACCUUGUACUGGGGUAUAGCCUUUAGAAAUGAAGAUUAACCCCCCAUAGUCUCUUAGAGUGGCAUCACUUCUAGAGUAAAGGUUACGGUAUAAGAUGAGUAUGCGUUCUAUUAGUUUGUUGGUGUGGUAACGGCACACCAAGACUACGAUAGAUAGGGGCCCUGAGAGGGGGAUCCCCCACACUGGUACUGAGACACGGACCAGACUCCUACGGGAGGCAGCAGUGAGGAAUAUUGGACAAUGGAGGCAACUCUGAUCCAGCCAUGCCGCGUGCAGGAAGACUGCCCUAUGGGUUGUAAACUGCUUUUAUACAGGAAGAAACACCUCUACGUGUAGAGGCUUGACGGUACUGUAAGAAUAAGGAUCGGCUAACUCCGUGCCAGCAGCCGCGGUAAUACGGAGGAUCCAAGCGUUAUCCGGAAUCAUUGGGUUUAAAGGGUCCGUAGGUGGAUAAUUAAGUCAGAGGUGAAAUCUUGCAGCUCAACUGUAAAAUUGCCUUUGAAACUGGUUAUCUUGAGUUAUUAUGAAGUAGUUAGAAUAUGUAGUGUAGCGGUGAAAUGCAUAGAUAUUACAUAGAAUACCAAUUGCGAAGGCAGAUUACUAAUAAUCAACUGACACUGAUGGACGAAAGCGUGGGUAGCGAACAGGAUUAGAUACCCUGGUAGUCCACGCCGUAAACGAUGGUUACUAGCUGUUUGGACUUCGGUCUGAGUGGCUAAGCGAAAGUGAUAAGUAACCCACCUGGGGGGUACGUUCGCAAGAAUGAAACUCAAAGGAAUUGACGGGGGCCCGCACAAGCGGUGGAGCAUGUGGUUUAAUUCGAUGAUACGCGAGGAACCUUACCAGGGCUUAAAUGUAAGUUGCAUUAGUUAGAGAUAGCUAUUUCUUCGGACCACUUACAAGGUGCUGCAUGGUUGUCGUCAGCUCGUGCCGUGAGGUGUCAGGUUAAGUCCUAUAACGAGCGCAACCCCUGUUGUUAGUUGCCAGCGAGUCAUGUCGGGAACUCUAGCAAGACUGCCAGUGCAAACUGUGAGGAAGGUGGGGAUGACGUCAAAUCAUCACGGCCCUUACGUCCUGGGCUACACACGUGCUACAAUGGUAGGUACAGAGAGCAGCCACUGCGCGAGCAGGAGCGAAUCUACAAAACCUAUCACAGUUCGGAUCGGAGUCUGCAACUCGACUCCGUGAAGCUGGAAUCGCUAGUAAUCGGAUAUCAGCCAUGAUCCGGUGAAUACGUUCCCGGGCCUUGUACACACCGCCCGUCAAGCCAUGGAAGUUGGAAGUGCCUGAAGUCCGUCACCGUAAGGAGCGGCCUAGGGUAAAGUCGAUAACUAGGGCUAAGUCGUAACAAGGUAAAUCACUAGU
rnacentral:rRNA from 1 species